UCCGUAGGGGGUACCUGCGGAGGGAUCAUUACUGAGUUUACGCUCUAUAACCCUUUGUGAACAUACCUAUAACUGUUGCUUCGGCGGGUAGGGUCUCCGUGACCCUCCCGGCCUCCCGCCCCCGGGCGGGUCGGCGCCCGCCGGAGGAUAACCAAACUCUGAUUUAACGACGUUUCUUCUGAGUGGUACAAGCAAAUAAUCAAAACUUUUAACAACGGAUCUCUUGGUUCUGGCAUCGAUGAAGAACGCAGCGAAAUGCGAUAAGUAAUGUGAAUUGCAGAAUUCAGUGAAUCAUCGAAUCUUUGAACGCACAUUGCGCCCGCCAGCAUUCUGGCGGGCAUGCCUGUUCGAGCGUCAUUUCAACCCUCAAGCUCUGCUUGGUGUUGGGGCCCUACAGCUGAUGUAGGCCCUCAAAGGUAGUGGCGGACCCUCCCGGAGCCUCCUUUGCGUAGUAACUUUACGUCUCGCACUGGGAUCCGGAGGGACUCUUGCCGUAAAACCCCCAAUUCUCCAAAGGUUGACCUCGGAUCAGGUAG
rnacentral:rRNA from 1 species